UCCUCGGUAGGAUAGUGGUGAGUAUCCCCGCCUGUCACGCGGGAGACCGUGGUUCGAUUCCCCGUCGGGGAG
rnacentral:tRNA from 1 species